GCCCCCAUCGUCUAGUGGCCUAGGACACACGGUUUUCAUCCGUGCAGCAGGGAUUCGAAUUCCCUUGGGGGUACCA
rnacentral:tRNA from 1 species